ACUGAAUUACCACCAUUCUAUUGGUUGUCUACACCUCAAUGGUGGUCUUCCCAUUGGCCACAUACCAGCUAAACCUUCGCAAUUUCAGCAGCUGCACCACAUUAUGGAGAGGAGGUUGCUGGAAGCCAACCUGUUGCAAGGCAGGCUGAACAAUCGAGGAGUGAAACUUACUAACAAUGGCGUCGUGCUGAGACGUGGUCUUUAUCUCCACUCACAGGAGGACCUUAUACACAAAGAUUGUUAUAUCUAACUCAUAAUUUAUGUACAAAACAUUAUGAACACCUGCUCUUUCCAUGACAUAAAUUGACCAGGUGAAAUAUAUGAUCCCUUAUUGAAGUCACUUGUUAAAUCCACUUCAAUCAGUGUAGAUGAAGGGGAGGAGAGUUUAAACUCUACGGGAUCGUAGAGACCCCCCCCCACCCACGGGACGGUUGUGUUAAUGUGAUAAGCAUGAGGUUGUAAGUAACAAAAACAUUUCCCAGGAUACAGAUAUAUCUGAUAGGGGCAGAAAGCUUAAAUUUGUGUUAAUCUAACUGCACUGUCCAAUUUACAGUAGCUAUUACAGUGAAAGAAUACCAUGCUAUUGUUUGAGGAGAGUGCACAAUUAUGAACUUAAAAAUGUAUUAAUAAACCAAUUAGGAACAUUUGGGCAGUCUUGAUACAACAUUUGACAGAUGAGCAAUGGUUCGUUGGAUCAGUCUAAAACUUUACACAUACACUGCUGCCAAAAUCUAAAUUGUGCCUGAGCUGGAAUAAUACAUUAUGGCCUUUCUCUUGCAUUUCAAAGAUGAUGUAAAAAUAAAAAAUAAAAUAAAAAUCUUUGUAUUAUCUUUUA